CAUACAGAUGUGCCAGAGAGCCAGCGACUGAGAGCUGCCCAAAAGAACCGGGGACAAAGAUAACACGAGUGUCCUUGGAGACAGAGCUGUUUUUGAGAAGGGCUCCAUCGCCCAGGCUUCCCAUAAGGCUCCCAUGUGUGGGGAGAGAUGGCCAGUUUGCAGGAGUGGGAGGGAGGGCUAAGAGAGGUACAGCUGGAGGAGGCUCCACGGAAAGACUGUGGAAAUGUGGAAAGCAGGGAAAUGAAGAGGGACACGUCACUCGCAAACUGAAAUGCAGAGGGGGUGGUAAGGGGAAGAAAGGAGCAGGGAGGCAGAGAUUUGGAAGCUUCAUCACGGAAGAACUGGCCUCAAGAGCAAAGGAAAGAGUUUCCAUCCAAGGAUGUGAGAGAGCUGUCCCUGCUUGUCCAUCUGUGUUCUACCCUGAGAGUACUUUCCAGUGCAAUUCUGCAAAAGGGCAGAAGACAUAUUUGAAUUGGCUGGGCAUCUGGUUCCUGUUACAGAUGACUCCACAGACUUUUUCAGCUAGGAAUUUGUUAGUGAAUAUCCAUUUGCUGUCUACAAUUCCACCUAAGAGAGGGAAGAUUGCUCAUUUUCUGUGUGCCUGAGAGACAGGGAUAAGUCAAGAUCCUACAACAGCCAUCAUGGUGACUCUUCCUCUUUUCCUCCUCUUCAUCCUUUUGCCCUGCAGUAAAUCUCAGGACUUCCUGGACCAGCACCAGAAAUGGAACUACAGAGAAGGCGCUGACAAGGUUAACAUAGAAGGUGUUUACAGCAUUACUCAAACCCUCGAGAAAUGGGGAAAUGACAUCUUCUGGCAAAUGAAGCAUACCCUGCUGAACAAUCCAAAUGCUCUCCUGCCUGAGUUCUCCAGCCUCCGCCCUGUUUCUGCAGCUGUGGACAACCUUGUGAGGGAAGUCCAGUCGAUAAGGAAAAGGCUGGAAGAACUGAAUGAACGCCUCAAUGUCAUCAGCAAAACUGUCCUUCCCCUUCGACUGAAUGCUCUGCAGAGCCAGAGGCGUGGAAAUACUCAGCUGCGAAGACUCCCAACACAUAGAAGAAGGCUAUAUGCUCGCAGAAGACCUCAGAGCACUUAAUUCUCUACCAGAAA